GGGGAAUCUUCCGCAAUGGACGAAAGUCUGACGGAGCAACGCCGCGUGAGUGAUGACGGCCUUCGGGUUGUAAAGCUCUGUUAAUCGGGACGAAAGGCCUUCUUGCGAAUAGUGAGAAGGAUUGACGGUACUGGAAUAGAAAGCCACGGCUAACUACGUGCCAGCAGCCGCGGUAAUACGUAGGUGGCAAGCGUUGUCCGGAAUUAUUGGGCGUAAAGCGCGCGCAGGCGGAUCAGUCAGUCUGUCUUAAAAGUUCGGGGCUUAACCCCGUGAUGGGAUGGAAACUGCUGAUCUAGAGUAUCGGAGAGGAAAGUGGAAUUCCUAGUGUAGCGGUGAAAUGCGUAGAUAUUAGGAAGAACACCAGUGGCGAAGGCGACUUUCUGGACGAAAACUGACGCUGAGGCGCGAAAGCCAGGGGAGCGAACGGGAUUAGAUACCCCGGUAGUCCUGGCCGUAAACGAUGGGUACUAGGUGUAGGAGGUAUCGACCCCUUCUGUGCCGGAGUUAACGCAAUAAGUACCCCGCCUGGGGAGUACGACCGCAAGGUUG
rnacentral:rRNA from 1 species